UCCGGCAGCUAGCUGUCUGCAACUCUCACAUGAUCGCCCACUGAAGCUAAGUAGGGCUGCGCCCGGUCAGUACCUGGAUGGAAGACCACAUGGGAAAGCUAGGUUGCUGCCAGAA
rnacentral:rRNA from 1 species